rnacentral:rRNA from 1 species
UACAGAGGUCUCAAGCGUUGUUCGGAUUCAUUGGGCGUAAAGGGUGCGUAGGCGGUGGGGCAAGUCAGGUGUGAAAUCCCGGAGCUCAACUCCGGAACUGCACUUGAUACUGCCUUGCUAGAGUACUGGAGAGGAGACUGGAAUUUACGGUGUAGCAGUGAAAUGCGUAGAGAUCGUAAGGAAGACCAGUGGCGAAGGCGGGUCUCUGGACAGUUCCUGACACUGAGACACGAAGGCCAGGGGAGCAAACGGG